AACUGAUGCUAUAACUUCUUAAACUACAGUUACAUGUAUAUCCGAGUCUGAAUCAGAUAACUCACAGUGCUCAUGUGUAUUUAUGUAUCAAGAUCACAUUUCCUGUUUAUAGAGUGGUGGGUGAAAAAGUUCAUCCGUUAGUGAAAGGAACAUUUACUCUUCUUUGUUUUAGUGCUGUCUCCCUACUUUUAUGGCAGAGAAUGGUGUGGCACCGAUGAUUGAUGGAGUAGGAUUUAACCAAGCUUGGUGUUACCAAGCUACACCCGUUAUCACCUGAAGUUAUCUCAUGCCAAGCGAGGAUCAACAUUGGAGAGCAGUUUCUUUCUGUAUGAGUGUGACACUGCUUGCAGAGUAAAAGGUCAUAGUGACAAUGCCGCUUGGACUGCUUCUGGACUUCCAUGGUGACACCAGGCUGUUCCAAGGCCAACCUGAGCUCCUCCUUGUGGUAAUGUUAGCCGACAAGCUUCUUCUACCUCAACUAUGUGGAUGUUCGCCGCAGAUCCGUGUGUUGCAACAUGCAAGCAAAUCAAAUGAAGGAGUGUGGACAAAGACAAAGUUAUAUAUCAAGCAAAUCGGAUGAAGGCGUGUGGACAAAGUUAUAUAUCUAAUGGUCAACCAUGUAGUUUACUACAGUAUUAUGCAGUAUAGAAAACAGUGUAAAUAAGUUAGCUGGGACUAAUACUAUGGCCUGCUUUUGGUUUCUAUCAUACCAAACUUUGCUUAGGUAUUUCAUGUCACAUUUUAUAACAAA